AAUGAACGUUGGCGGCAUGGAUUAGGCAUGCAAGUCGAGCGAGAAGAGUUUUGAAGCUUGCUUUAGAACUCGGACAGCGGCGAAAGGGAGAGUAACGCGUAGUUAUGUGCCCUAGGGUCCGGAAUAGCCACGGGAAACUGUGGGUAAUGCCGGAUAUAUCCCCGGAUCAAAGGUGUGAUUCCGCCCUAGGAGCAGACUGCGUCCUACUAGCUAGUUGGUGGGGUAAUGGCCUACCAAGGCAACGAUGGGUAGCGGGUGUGAGAGCAUGACCCGUCUCACUGGGACUGAGACACGGCCCAGACACCUACGGGUGGCUGCAGUCGGGAAUCUUCGGCAAUGGGCGAAAGCCUGACCGAGCGAGGCCGCGUGCGGGAUGAAGGCCCUCGGGUUGUAAACCGCUGUCGUAGGGGAGGAAGGUUCCGUGAAGAGCGGAAUUUGACCUAUCCUAGGAGGAAGUACGGGCUAAGUUCGUGCCAGCCGCCGCCGUAA
rnacentral:rRNA from 1 species